GGGCCUCGUUUAGUUCACAUAAAGUGGGAGGAGGAAAGAUAAUUCCUAAGAAGUGAAAAGGAGUCAUCUUCUUUGAUUAAAAUUUUAAUAGAAGAGAAAAAAAAAAUUAUGGACAAAAUAGAUUUUAAGACUUCUCAUAGUAUGUAAAUUGAAUUGUCUUCUUUUUUUUUUUAAUAUUUUUUUCGAUUAAAAUUUUGUAAAAUAUUAAUAGAUAGUUAAGAUGAAAUAUUGAAUAGUGAUAUAUGCCAAAAUCUUCAUUUUAUCCUCCUUGCAAAAUUAAUAUAAUAUUAUAUUAAUAUUAUCUUAAUAUUAAUAUUAAUAUAUUAUAAUAUUUAUACUAAUAUAAAUAUUAUAUUAUACCAAUAUAAAUAUUAAUAUUAUGUUAAUAUCUAUACUAAUAUAUUAUUUUUAUUAAUAUUAAGAUG
rnacentral:lncRNA from 1 species